rfam:Schistosoma mansoni, Puerto Rico, WGS project CABG01000000 data, contig: 0076
AUCCAACUGACAAGUCCCAAAUAGGACGAAACGCACGUCCUACAA